AGAGUUUGAUCCUGGCUCAGGAUGAACGCUAGCGACAGGCUUAACACAUGCAAGUCGAGGGGCAGCACAGGUAGCAAUACCGGGUGGCGACCGGCGCACGGGUGAGUAACGCGUAUGCAACUUGCCUAUCAGAGGGGGAUAACCCGGCGAAAGUCGGACUAAUACCGCAUGAAGCAGGGGCCCCGCAUGGGGAUAUUUGCUAAAGAUUCAUCGCUGAUAGAUAGGCAUGCGUUCCAUUAGGCAGUUGGCGGGGUAACGGCCCACCAAACCGACGAUGGAUAGGGGUUCUGAGAGGAAGGUCCCCCACAUUGGUACUGAGACACGGACCAAACUCCUACGGGAGGCAGCAGUGAGGAAUAUUGGUCAAUGGCUGAGAGGCUGAACCAGCCAAGUCGCGUGAGGGAUGAAGGUUCUAUGGAUCGUAAACCUCUUUUAUAAGGGAAUAAAGUGCGGGACGUGUCCCGUUUUGUAUGUACCUUAUGAAUAAGGAUCGGCUAACUCCGUGCCAGCAGCCGCGGUAAUACGGAGGAUCCGAGCGUUAUCCGGAUUUAUUGGGUUUAAAGGGUGCGUAGGCGGCCUUUUAAGUCAGCGGUGAAAGUCUGUGGCUCAACCAUAGAAUUGCCGUUGAAACUGGGGGGCUUGAGUAUGUUUGAGGCAGGCGGAAUGCGUGGUGUAGCGGUGAAAUGCAUAGAUAUCACGCAGAACCCCGAUUGCGAAGGCAGCCUGCCAAGCCAUUACUGACGCUGAUGCACGAAAGCGUGGGGAUCAAACAGGAUUAGAUACCCUGGUAGUCCACGCAGUAAACGAUGAUCACUAGCUGUUUGCGAUACACUGUAAGCGGCACAGCGAAAGCGUUAAGUGAUCCACCUGGGGAGUACGCCGGCAACGGUGAAACUCAAAGGAAUUGACGGGGGCCC
rnacentral:rRNA from 1 species